UCGUCCGUCCGUCUGUCUGUCUGUCUGUCUGUUCUUACGAGAGGUACAUUGUGGGGUAAAAUUAACGUAUUUUCCAGCAGUGUGGGGUUUUUUGGGUACUGUGGGGUUAACCCCAUAAUGAAGAGGUCUAAUUACGUUCAAAAUUACUCUAUGAGGUCGAAAAACCUAAAAUUAGAUUUAACCUCACAAAGACUUUGUCCAAAUUUUGGACAUGUCCUUAGCCCAAAACGCUCAGACAUUCAGAAAUCUGCUGUUUAGAGGAGUUCGGUAAUUGAAUCGAGGAGUUCCGAAUACCUGAGCAUGCGCAUAUAUUUAAAACUAACUGCGCAUGCGCAGAAUACGGAAGUAGCUGUGUUUGGAUUAGCAGUGAGGAAAUUCGGAAACACAAAAAGCAAAUGCAAGUUCAGAUACUGAAAGUGAACAUAAGUGGAACUUUGAUGAUCUAGGCCGCUCUAUUUUUGCAGCAACACCAGCAGGCGUCGGACAUUCAUAAAGUUGAAAGAACAAACCUAUGACUUGAACACACAAUUUGUGAUCUGAAUAUAGUUCACAAAUUUAAGGAAAGCAACUAUCAAAGACAUUCAGAUUGAUGGUAUACAUGAAGUAUGAAUGAAAGACUUUUCAGAAGAACAAGCACAAUCCGGGUUCAUUCUUGCCAUUGUCUUCUCCAGACGGCGACAUUUAGGACCUGACUUACUUUUCAGAAAAAGAAGAUGAAUCGAUUUUUGAUAGUUGAUCUUAAAAAGAUAACAUUUUCAGGGGUCGUGGAUUGAAUGACAUUUUCUUGAUGGGCAACUUGUUUCAAGUAUUUGGAUGUCUAUUCUCAAGUUACUGCAAACCUUAAAUUAACUUCUUGAUUAUUAGUUAAAUGUGAGACCGUUUCUUACUUGAAGUAAUCAUUUUUUGAAUUGAGCUAUGUAAUCUCUGAUUACUUAUGUUUAUGAGUAGUGUUCAGCUUUAAGACAAAAGGAUCUUUUAUGAACACUGCAUUCGUCAUGGUGAAUUUCUAUACAUUAAGAAACAGUCAUAGUUUUCGUCUUUUUUAAUUAGCGAUCUCAUUUUAAAUGUGAGAAAUAAUUAUGAAACUGAAAUGUACAUUUAUGUUGUUUGAUUUUUAUUUUUUUGAAAAUUGUUAAUCAAUUGCCUGUUGUUGUUUUUUUUUCAUUUUAUUUUAGGGGAUGGGAGUGGGGGUGCAGCUGUAAGUUUGAGUAUAUUUUCCAAAAGGAUGUACAUCGUUAUUUUUGUUUUAAUAUCAAUUUUAAAAUGCAAAAUGAUGAGAUAUUAGACUACACAUUUUUUCUUAAAACUUCAUUUAAAUUAAUAUAUUUUGUUUAAAAUAAGUAGCAACAACAUGCAAGUUUUACAGUUAUUUGACAACUCACUAUAUACUUGUUUUUUACAUUUAUGAAGAUUGUCUCAAAUUUUGAGGGUUUUUUUCUGUGUUCUACAUUUAUUGACAUGUUUCUUAUCUGUGUUCAUCUUGUCGAGUAACUGAAAAGUUUGAUUAAAUCUUUUUUUA